UUGAAGGAAAGGAACAGUUUCAAAGAAAUUAACUUGUUGCAGUGACAUGUCCAACAUCUUACUAAAACUGUCUGCAGCCUAAAAAUGUUAUAUAUGUUGGAUUUUCUUGCACUUACGGACAUAGCAUUAUCUGUUGUAUUAAUGGCAGUCUCUAAGGUAACCUGAAUUACUUUAAAAUAAGAAAAGCUCAAAGGAACUGACAGGCUUUGAAGUAAAAGAGAACGUAACUAGUGCAGGAUGGGGAUGGAUUCCAGGGGUAAGAGGGAUCCGAACUCGAUGUUUUUCUUCCCAGCUUGGGAGUCCCAUUCUUGAAACUUUCUGUGUUGACUGCAGGCUCAGGACCAAAGCAAGAACUCUGGUCAAUGAAGAGCAGGCACACGCGGAAAGGAUGAACAGGUUUAAAAUUCGAGGAGGAGGUUCCUUUUUCACACCCCAUGGAAUGAAGGAGAAUAGAAACUGUUUCCAUAAGUUCAUGUGACAAAGCAUGAAGAAGCUUGUAAAGAACAGAUUCCUUCUACCUCCCUCGCUACAAUCAUAACACUCUGACAGCCACAAACACUGGAGAUUGGGGAAGAUUAUUCUCCUUGCGAUUGUUUCCUCAGAAAGAGAUGGCCAGAAACUUGAGAAGGACAUACUAAAACAAAGAAAAGCAAAAAAGGAUCUUCCAAAUGAGUCUGCACAAAACUUAAACAAGAAAGAAAUUUCCUUUUUGUCAGAAAAAUCCAUCAGUAAGUCUCUACAUUUUGGGAGAUAAUUUGUCUUUCAGAGGUGCCUGAAGCUUCUUACAUUUGACUUUUUUAAAGCAAGCCUGACAAAUGAUGUGAGAAUAUUCUGCAAGGAUGAUUCUUAGGAAAUUAAUCUUCAGGUGUACCAAGCUUCAUCUCUCUCGCACUUCCACAGUUUUACAUUUAAAAAAAAUAUAACAACACUGGGAAGUUUUCAUAAAUCAUGUAAAAGUCACAGUUGCUUCAAAAGAAGAAAGUUGUGUGAUCAAACUAUAGAAGUAGAACACAAUCAACGGAGUAUUAGAAAUACUCAGAAAGUUAUUAGGCGUAUCACUAAAUAACUCAAACCUUAAUUCACAUAAGAACUUUCAUUCUUACCUCUGGGUAAUAAAUAAUA